AACGUACGCUGGCGGCACGCCUAACACAUGCAAGUCGAACGCAGUAGCAAUACUGAGUGGCAGACGGGUGAGUAACAUGUGGGAAUCUGCCUUGUGGUUCAGGACAACAUUGGGAAACCGAUGCUAAUACUGGAUAAGCCCUUACGGGGAAAGUUUUAAUGCCAUAAGAUGAGCCCGCAUUUGAUUAGUUAGUUGGUGAGGUAAUGGCUCACCAAGACAAUGAUCAAUAGCUGAUCUGAGAGGAUGAUCAGCCACACUGGGCCUGAGACACGGCCCAGACUCCUACGGGAGGCAGCAGUGGGGAAUCUUGCAAAAUGGAGGAAACUCUGAUGGAGCUAUGCCGCGUGAGUGAAGAAGGCCUUUGGGUUGUAAAGCUCUUUUGUAGGGGAAGAUAAUGACUGUACCCUAAGAAUAAGGUCCGGCUAACUUCGUGCCAGCCGCCGCAGUAA
rnacentral:rRNA from 1 species